CCGGAGAAUGUUAUCACGGGAGACACACGGCGGGUGCUAACGUCCGUCGUGAAGAGGGAAACAACCCAGACCGCCAGCUAAGGUCCCAAAGUCAUGGUUAAGUGGGAAACGAUGUGGGAAGGCCCAGACAGCCAGGAUGUUGGCUUAGAAGCAGCCAUCAUUUAAAGAAAGCGUAAUAGCUCACUGGUCGAGUCGGCCUGCGCGGAAGAUGUAACGGGGCUAAACCAUGCACCGAAGCUGCGGCAGCGACGCUUAUGCGUUGUUGGGUAGGGGAGCGUUCUGUAAGCCUGCGAAGGUGUGCUGUGAGGCAUGCUGGAGGUAUCAGAAGUGCGAAUGCUGACAUAAGUAACGAUAAAGCGGGUGAAAAGCCCGCUCGCCGGAAGACCAAGGGUUCCUGUCCAACGUUAAUCGGGGCAGGGUGAGUCGACCCCUAAGGCGAGGCCGAAAGGCGUAGUCGAUGGGAAACAG
rnacentral:rRNA from 1 species